UUGUCUCUUUCUAAAACUUAGUUUCAGAUUUCCUCUGCCUUCUCUCUACAACAUCUCUUCCUUCUCUUUUCCAUUUAUCCUCUCUGAACCGAUAGAUUUCUGUUCAGGUGGUGCCAAAACGUCCGCAACGUAGAGAGCUUCGAAACCAUCCGAUUCGUUUUGGGUUCUAAGUUGGGUUUGGUCGAGUCCUUGCUGUGUGAGGUACCGUUAGGGCAUUCCAGUGAGCUGUGCGAUUUUACCCCAAGGUGGUGCUAAAACGUCUGCAGCGUACAGAGCUUUGAAACCUUCCGAUUCGUUUUGGGUUCUAAACUGGGUUUGGUCGGGUCCUUGCUGUGUGAGGUACCGUUAGGGCAUUCCAAUGAGCUGUGCGGUUUUACCCCAAGAGAUGAAUGAGGUACACCUGGAGCAGGCCCGCCCUGGAUGGUGAUGAUGCUGCAGCUUAGUUCGUUUAGGAAUUUCUAAAUUAAGUUCUAUCACUUUGAAAUACUCUAAUGCGUUUAAAGUUUUAAAUUAGGACUUAUUUUGGGAUGACUGUAACUUUAAUAUUUUACUUACAGUCUACUUCUAACUGUUCUCUUAUAUUAAAAUGUGGACUUACUAUAUAUAUUUCUAUAUAA